UACGGAGGGUGCAAGCGUUGUCCGGAAUCACUGGGCGUAAAGGGCGCGUAGGCGGCUCAUGAAGGCUGUGGUGAAAGUCCGGGGCUCAACCUCGGAUCGGCCGUGGCGACUCGUGGGCUGGAGCACUGUAGAGGCAGGUGGAAUUCCGGGUGUAGCGGUGGAAUGCGUAGAGAUCCGGAAGAACACCGGUGGCGAAGGCGGCCUGCUGGGCAGUAGCUGACGCUGAGGCGCGACAGCGUGGGGAGCAAACAGG
rnacentral:rRNA from 1 species